GAGGAGGAGGCCGAGGGGUGCCCCUCACAGCCCGGGCCCGCAGCGCCGCCUCAGCCUGCAGGGGCUCCCGCCGCUCGAUUCACAAAAUGGCCGCCCCGCGUGGACACGACGAGCGCCGCUGAGGCGACAAAAUGGCGCCGGGCGGCCAAGCAAGGGGAAGGACGAACGGACGGACGGAUGGAGCCGGGGCGGCGAGUGCGGGCUUCAGCCGUGCCAGGAACACGGCGGAGGGGGCUCUUUUUAAUGGUUGAAGCCGCUGCCUCCCGAUCUCUUCACGGCUUGGAAAAUACCCAAACGCACUUUCAUUUAAAAAAAAAAACAAAAAAAAACCACCCCAAAACCCAAACCAACCAGCCAAAUAAAACACCCGAGGAUCGAUUUAUCUUCAGAGCCUGAGUGGCACAGGGAAGAAGCCGUCGCCUUGCUCCACGACAACCUGUCCACCAUUUGGUUUAUUAAAAUCAUGUACUCGGUGUGAUCGGAUGUCGUAAUACCGUAGAAAAAAAAAACCAAAAAACCCCGUAACAUCCCCGUUGUUGGAGGCUGCAGCCAAGAAAUUUCUACGGGGGAGGGGAGCACCCACUGCGGAGCCUUUGCCGCAGCGCCGGGCAGGCGUGGUCCCUGCUGCUGGGGGAGGAGAAAGGAGAAGAAGAAGGGAAAUGCAGGAGUGUUUGUGUAACCCCUCUCCCCAGCAGAUACCUUCUUUGGAUGUGUUGGUUUGGAGGUACACCUCGUCCUCGGUGGUGGCAUGGAGGAAUGGUGGACCAAGAAGCUGCUGUUGGGGAUAUUUCCACAUUUUUCAGUAUUUUGCAGCCUGGAAAACUGAAGUCCUCUGUCUAGCUGGUGAAAUACAAGCCCCAGCGACACGUGGCAGCGAGCUCCACCACUCGGGGUCCCAUGGCUUUCCCUGCAGUCCGUGGAUGUCCCUCCUGGCCACCCUGCCUGCAAGAUGGCCCUGUGACAGCAGCCACCGUGUGACAGCAGCCACCCUGCCUCAGGCUUCUUUGCAGGACCUGGGAGUCUGCAUGCCCCAUCAGGGAGAGCAGAAUUCAGCACCUAAAAGCUGUUUGGUAUGGGGUUUGGGUUUCUUCCUCUCCAAAAUGGUGCUGUUAAAGGUAUCAACGUGUAGCACUCAUUCUUUGGGCUUCUGGCCAGUUAACACCAGAACUGAGCCCAUUUCCACAGAGAAGAAACGUGGUGGAAGGCACACAUCAGCAGUGCCCUUUCCCGUGCAGACACAGUUCUGUCACACGUU